CUUGUGUGUGUGAAUCUGCUAGUGAGGGAGCUUCUUGUCAGUGUGCUUGUCUGUAGGCAUCAUGUGUGCAUCUGCUAGUGAGGGAGCUUCUUGUCAGUGAGCUUGUCUGUAGGCAUCAUGUGUGUGUGUUAGUGAGCUUGUCUGAGCCUGUCUGUGGUGAGAAUGUGUGUGCAGUGAGCUUGUCUGUAGUAAGCAUGUGUGUG